CCUGCACGUGAAGCGAUGGGGGAGGAGGGGGAGUUGUGUUCAGUGAAGGAGAGGUGGAGAUUUCUUGUUAGCUGGUUUGCAGAAAAUACUGCGUGCAAAUUGGAUAUUUGGACAGACAGAAGCAUCUUAAUUUCCAGGUGUAUGUCUGGGUGUUGAGGUCCAUCAGUCUCCCUCUGAGUUCAUCACAAAUGUUGGAUCCAAAGUGGAGAUUUUUUGCAGUCAUGAAAAGACUGACUACAGGGUGAUGCUCUGGUAUCAGCAGCUGCCUGGAGAGACAGCUAUGAAACUCAUCGGGUGUUUGUCUGGGUGUUAAAGUUUCCCAAACACCCGUGGAGGUUUUCAGGACACCUGGAGAAAACGUCCAGCUGGUCUGCAGCCAUGAAAAGACCGACUACAUGCUCUUGCAGUGGUACCAGAAAUCCCCUGGAGACCAGGCUCUGAAGCGCAUUGGACAUUUAUAUUAUAACAGCAAAGAGCAUGAGGAAGUGUUUAAGACACAUUUUAAUAUUAGUGGAGAUUUAAGUGGAGAGAAAGGAAAGAAUGCUUCUCUGUUUAUAGUGGACCUAAAGGCACCUGAGCACAGUGCAGUGUAUUACUGUGCAGCAAGCUAUGCACACUGAGAGGAAAACCCCUCCCUGUAAUACCAAAACUCAAACCCAUUGAAGUUGAUGGUUUUAAACUAACAUACUCCUCCCCACAUCUUGGUUAGAUCCCAGCCAGUAUAAUUUUCACUUCACUUUUCUCCUCAAUGUCAAUCAGUCAAAUCCCAAUAUUUAGAUCCCUAAAAAACAUAAAUUGGAGGACAAUAUGAUCAAUAUUCUCUUUCUCUGUCUGACAGAGAAUACACUGUUUGCAUAACAUAAGAUUAUCUAAAAGUGUAAAUGUUAUGAUUUAAACAAAAUUGGGUUUUUUUUAACGUUUCUACGAGUCUUGAGGUUCCGUCAGUCUCCCUUUGAGUUCAUCACAAAUGUUGGUUCAGAUGUUCUGCGGCCAUGAAAAGACUGACUACAGAGUGAUGCUCUGGUAACAGCAGCAGCCUGGAGAGAAAGCUAUGAAACACCUUCUCUUUAAACUUCAAAGUUGUCACAUUUGAAGACCAGUUCAUGAUCAUUUCAAUAUCACUGGAGAUUUGGGUGGGAAUAGAGCAAAAAAGGACUCUGUCCCUAAACAGCAUGGCAAAUUUCAGAGCCUAUGAAGCUUUCACAGACAAAGAAAGAAAAUAACAGUGUGUACCACAAACACAGAAACACUAUUUCUUUCCAUGAGGUGGCCGUAUGUCUGUAUGUCUGCCCAUUUUCCUGGUGGGAGGGUUUAAGAAGAAAUGAGAUAUGAAUAAUCAGCAGAACUGAAUAUACAGUUAUGAAAGCACAGACAACAUAACAGUGGUGUUCCUGAGUUUAGUUAUGCAAACCAACAUGGUAAUUACUUUCUUCUGCAUAAGCCUUAACAUUAUCCUCGUGUCAGGUAAUGCACUCUUUAACUUUUUAAGUCUUCAGGAUUUACUCUUAUAUUGGAAAUUUCACAAUGAUCAUAUUUCCGAUGUUUUUUUUGUUUUUUUUAAACACAGGUUCUUCACUCAGUGACCAAGUCCACCAGGAUCCAGCUGAUAUUUAUAGAAUUCAAGGAGAAACAGCAGAAAUCACCUGUUCACACAAUAUAGACAGCUAUAAUAUAAUCCUCUGGUACAAGCAAACAAAAAACAGCCAACUGCAGCUCCUGGGACACGUGUAUUCAACAAACCCAUCUGUAGAGCCUGGAGUGACUGUGACAAUUGCUGGGAAUGCAAAUAAAGACGAGACCUGCACACUGACAAUUAAAGAUCUCUUCAUGAACAGCAGUGCAGUGUACUUCUGUGCUGCUAGAUUCCACAGUGCUACAUAUCACUGAUCCACAAUACAAAAACCUUCCAAAUGGUAGUUUUUAUCUCUUACAGCUCACAGACACUCGCACCUGUAUUCUAACCAACAUUGAUCUUGUGAUUAUAAUCCUUAGACUUAAAACCUUUAACC